GAAGUAGGACAGGUAAUCGCCUGCAUCCGUCUUGGCGAAUGCAGGAGGAAAGUCCGGGCUCCGCAGGGCAAGGGUGGUCGUUAACGGCGACCGGGGGUGACCCCAGGGAAAGUGCCACAGAAAACAAACCGCUAUCCUAGAGGGAUAGUAAGGGUGAAACGGUGAGGUAAGAGCUCACCAGUUCCCCGGGUGACCGGGGAAGCUAGGCAAACCCCACCCGGAGCAAGACCAAUAGAGGGGAAGAUGAAACGGCCCGUUUCUCCCCUGGGUAAGUCGCUGGAGGCAGCAGGCAACUGUUGCCCUAGAUGAAUGAUUACUGUCCGGCAUGGGGCAAUCCGUGCCGGGAACAGAACCCGGCUUAUGGCCUGCUUUGACC
rnacentral:RNase_P_RNA from 1 species